UGGACAUUAUUACCGGGUUGGGCGGGCCCGGUCUGGGAGGGGUUUGUGGGUGAGCCCUGGGUCCCCCGCCCGCUGAGGAGAUGGAUGAGGACGGGCUUCCUCUCAUGGGGUCAGGCAUAGACCUGACGAAGGUGCCAGCUAUUCAACAGAAAAGAACGGUGGCAUUUCUAAACCAAUUUGUGGUGCACACUGUACAGUUCCUCAACCGCUUUUCUACAGUUUGUGAGGAGAAACUGGCAGACCUUUCUCUUCGUAUCCAGCAAAUUGAAACAACUCUAAAUAUUUUAGAUGCAAAGUUGUCAUCUAUCCCAGGCCUAGAUGAUGUUGCAUUUGAAGUUUCUACUGUAAGCGCCACUGGUAUCACAAAUGAAUCACAUUCUGAAACCACUGCAGAGAAAUCACAGCAGAACAGUUUACAAGACUCUGGACCACAGGAAAGUGAAGUAACACCAGAAAAUAUCUUAACUGUAGCCAAGGACCCAAGAUAUGCCAGAUAUCUCAAAAUGGUUCAAGUGGGUGUUCCAGUGAUGGCAAUAAGAAACAAAAUGAUAUCGGAAGGACUAGACCCAGAUCUUCUUGAACAUGAGCAACCCAACAGGACCAGUUGGCAGCUGUAGCUUCAGUUUUGUGGAGUCCUUACAGUGCUUCCUGGGGGAAGUGUGCCAGCUUCUUCCCCUUACCCUGUCAGGAUACAGGACCUCCAAUCCAGCAAAGCCUAAGGUGGUAGGAAUGGGAAACACAUUCUACAAGUAGCUCACUGGGAAUGGUGGAAAAUCAUUCUGGCCAUGAUGUGGGAGAUGAAGUGAAGAAAUGGUAAAAAGGAGAUCACUUGGGAGAUCACUACUACAUUGCAGCUGAGAGACGAUAAAGACCUCACUGGAACAAUGACAGAGUAGUAUGAAGAAAAGAACGAAAGGACUUUGUGACUUAUUGGCUACCCCAGGUGAAAGAGAGUGAAAAAAUACUCCAAGGUGAUGUGGAAGAUAGUGUGGGCAAUUCACUGCAAGAGAACAGGAGUUUUAAAAAGGGAAAUGAUGUAUUCAGUUUAGUAUGUAUUGCAUUUGAGGUGCCAGCAGAUCAUCUAUAUAAAUACCCAGACAGAGGGGAGAUGAUUUCUGAGCUGUCAGCUCAUGGUAGUGGCUGAAAUCAUAUAGGCCUGGUAGACAGUACAGAGCAAUGGUUCUUAACAAGGUUGUGUGUUUAUGCGGAGGGAGAGAUUGGUCUGGCUUACCUAUCACUGAGUAAGACAAUAAACCAGCACACAAAGCUUAACACAA